UACAGAGGUCCCAAGCGUUGUUCGGAUUCAUUGGGCGUAAAGGGUGCGUAGGCGGCGCGGUAAGUCGGGUGUGAAAUCUCGGAGCUUAACUCCGAAACUGCAUUCGAUACUGCCGUGCUUGAGGACUGGAGAGGAGACUGGAAUUUACGGUGUAGCGGUGAAAUGCGUAGAUAUCGUAAGGAAGACCAGUGGCGAAGGCGGGUCUCUGGACAGUUCUUGACGCUGAGGCACGAAGGCCAGGGGAGCAAACGGG
rnacentral:rRNA from 1 species